rnacentral:rRNA from 1 species
AGUGAACGUUGGCGGCGUGGAUUAGGCAUGCAAGUCGAGCGACAAGGCCCCUUCGGGGGCUGGAGGAGCGGCUAACGGGGUAGUAAGGCGUAGGUAACGUACCCCCAGGACCGGGAUAGCCGGGGGAAACUCCGGGUAAUACCGGACGAUCUCUUCGGGCCCGAUGGUCUGAAGAGCAAAUGGUGAGAUUCCGCCUGGGGAGCGGCUUACGUGGUACUAGGUAGUUGGCGGGGUAACGGCCCACCAAGCCUGAGAUGCCUAGGGGGUGUGAGAGCAUGGCCCCCACCACUGGGACUGAGAUACUGCCCAGACACCUACGGGUGGCUGCAGUCGAGAAUCUUCGGCAAUGCGCGAAAGCGUGACCGAGCGACGCCGCGUGCGGGAUGAAGGCCCUUGGGUUGUAAACCGCUGUCAGAGGGGAGGAAAUCACUGGGGGUUCUCCCCCAGUGUUGACCGAGCCUCAGAGGAAGCACGGGCUAAGUUCGUGCCAGCAGCCGCGGUAAUACGAACUGUGCGAACGUUACUCGG